GGCUCUGAUUUGUUUGUGGUAAGAACAGAAAAUCUGCUGGGCUCUUUUGGACAAGUAGCCACCUAUAAAUGCAGGCAGUAGAACUGGAUGCCCCAAAUGGGCCCUCCCAGGCCUAUUUUCAAUGUAAUAGAGUUUUAUGGAUUUCCAUAUAAAGAACCAUUUCAAGUGGCAGUCGAGAUUGGGCAGCAAGUGCUGGAGAACACAGAGCAGAUGGAAGCUACACUAUGCUUUGCAAGGCAGUGAAGUUUGUGGCUGGUAGGAAUUGAUGGACUCUGGCAAGUCUCUGCCAACAUGGUUUCAGGACCCCCUGCUUCAUUCAGUACCCAAAACGGAUGGUGCUUUGGGCCUGAAUGAGGGAUAUGUAGAGGAGAAUAUUGUCCAUGGGACUUCAGCCUUAUUUGCUUCAGAAGUUGAAAGGUUCCAGGGCUGCCCCCAGGAAAUGCCACCUCUUACCUUCUUCUUGUUUUUGAUUAUGAAAAAAUAGAGCAAUUCUUCUGUUGCAAAGAACUCAGAAAGCUCACAAGAGGCUAGAAUGUUUUUGAUGCUAUGGAUUCCCAUUUGAAAUCUUUGGGUUUAUCUCUUGAGCGGUGCAGAUACAUAUCACAGGCAAGUGUAACUCUGGCAUUUCCUAAUUCUGAGUGCUUGACCUAGCAACCACAAUAUUUAAUGUAAUUUUUGUAUAUAUCAAACAAGGGUGUGUGCCCUUAGUCUAUCAAAUGUAGAUGGUUAUCUCUAUUGCUAAUUAUGCAAAUACUGGAGUAUUAUGUAAUCAAGUAAUCAAAUAAGUUGAAAGCUUAAGCAUUGGUGAUUCUGUUGUUUAACAUCUCAACAAAUAUACUCAGUUGAUGGAGAACAUUGCCUGAAGUUAUUUUCUGUAAACCAUUUAAUGUAUAAAUAUUACUGGAUUUUUAAAAAUUCAUUUCUAUGUAUUGGCUUUACAAAUUAUCACCUUUAAAAAAAGUCUCAACUAUAAGGAGGUUUUCAACACCUUUUUCCUAAAUACAGCCAUAACCUUAGAGUGCUGCAGAAUUUAUCUAUAGGGUUGCAACUAAAGAAAACCUAUACUUCCUUCAAUCCUCUCUCACUAGGCCAGUGCCUUUAUUUAAGAGUGCUCAAAUACUAUCUAAAAUACUUAAUUUGAGAUCUGGCUUUAGCAUCAAUAGCUAAAUACUUUCAGUAUUCCAUAUUUUCCUUAUUAAAUUGAAACUAUCCUUUGUGCCUGAGCCAGCUUUACUUAAAUUGUUGACAGCAGUCUGGGACAUUGAUCUGGGAUUGUUACUCUCUGCUGUGGCCUAUUCUAAUGCACUUUGAGUAUUCUA